CGCCAGGCACAGACAGGAGAAGGGCAGAGACAGGGAGUCCAGGGGAUUCAGGAGGCUCUGGACCGGCCCAUCUCAGUGUGGGACUUUGGUCCUGAGGCGUUGCAGGAACCUCCACCCUGGGGAUGGCCCUGGGAAGACAGAUGCAUGUGGAGGCGGGGGCGCUCACCAGCCUGGGUAACCACAGUAACUAUGGGCCCACUCUGGUGUCUCAGGAGUGAGGAUGAUGCUUAGGGAGAUGCAGAACCUGCCCAAGCUCUUCCCCUCGGGCAGGCACGGGGGAGGGAAGCACAGCGUGGCAAAGCCCUGCAAUGCCAGGCUCUCCUGCCGGCUGGGGCCUCCUGGUGUGACACUAGGGUCUCAUUUAUUUAUUCAAUACAUGCUCACAGACAACACAGGGCCAGUGGCCGGGAAUGCAAAUGUAAAAAUAUCACUGUUGUCAGGAAGGGUGAACAGGACUUGGCAGGGCAAUGACAGCAGGAGAGGAGUUGUUUCCUCUGCAGCCCAGCGCCCUGGCCAGCUCAACGCAAGGCUCCCGUGGAAUGGGCAGCCUGCAAGUGACUGAGUUCAUGUGAAAUGAGAAUUCCCUGGGAAACUGAGGAAGACCCAUGUAUCCAGGCAGGGGCCAGAGCGCAGGACACCCAGCAAGGCCGACCCCUGAGCCUAGCAGCAAACAGCACAGGAGAGCGGCAAACAGUGCAAGCAUUGCCCUCACAUGGGGACCCUGGUGUAAACUGAGGUGACCCAAAGUUUCUGACAGCUUUGAAGCAACAUCUGGCCUGGAUGGUCCUCUGAGGGACUCAGGGGGUUGUGGUUUUGAAAGCUAGAGUGUUUCCCUGACUCCCACCCUCAGGGGCCUGUUAGCCUUCUCUGAAAAAGCCGGGGCCUCAGGACUACCAUUCACGUCUUCCCGAUUCUCCUCCUCCUCUUUCCAGAUGGUGAGAGCGCUGAUGACCUAGCCCAAAGGCGGCUGGAAGGUAGGAGGGUGCCUUUCUUUGAGGACUGCUUCCCAGCAUCAAGAUUUAUAAUCAGAAAAAUGACAGAAGAUUAUAUGCUGAUUUACAAAAAGCAGGCGUGAAAGCACGUCCCCCCCUCACGUCUCUGUAAUGGAUCUGGACACCUUUUCUCUGAGUUCCAUCUCACAGGCUGAUCUUUUAAAUAGACCUCAUUCCUCCAAUUUCCUGCAGUCAUGAAGUUAGACAUUUCUGGGAUUCCGUUUCCUGAAAUGCAAUGUUUCCUGAAUGCCAUUAAGGUGCUUCUCCUGGGAGUUGAACCUGCCUUUGGAUGGAGCCCUUUCCUGUGGAAACACGGGUUCAUGGCUGAAGAGGAAUUUUCCCUCAGGAUCAAUUGCACCUUCAGUCUCACCCAUAUCUGAUUUAGAUGACAUUUAGAUGAGAUUUUGGACCCUGACAUUGAUGCUGGAACAAGCUAAGACUUUUGGGGCUAUCGGGAUAAAAUGAAUGUAUUUUGAAUGUGAGAAGGACCUAAAGUUUGAGAGGACAGAGGCAGAGUGUUAUAGACUGAAUGGGAGGGCUUUGUUCAGGAAGAGCCUUGGAUUGCUGAAUCCCAGGGGAAACUUCAGCUUGUUAGAUGACAUCAGGCCUGUGGAAUCUGCAUGUCCAACUGACUUGUGUGUGAGGACUGAGGAGAUGGGGUGAGAUCAGCUUCACCCUAGCCUUCACCCAGUGCUUGAGCUCCUCUGGAGACAGUGAUGACAAGGAUCAGAGCCUGCCCUGCAAGAACAGCCCCCACAGCUCUGGGUAUCUUCCUGGGACCACUCAGAGGAACGAGAUGUGCUAAGUGUGUCAAAGCAGUGGGGAGUGGAAGGAAGGAGGCAGUGUGGACCUUUGCUGAGCAUGUCUCAGGCAGCUGCUUCCAGCAACAUCGACAUUGAGUCCUCACAACGGCCCUGGGAGGUACAUAGGCACAUCCCUGAAAUGCAGAGAGUCACAGACCCAGAGAGGUCAAGCACUCAUUGAUCACUGAAGCUGGGUGUGGGAUCAGAUUGGCCAGACCCCCCUCUAUCACUCUUCAUGGGCUCAGAAGCUUCCAUGCACACCAUCACCAACCAUGCCUGGAGG
rnacentral:lncRNA from 1 species